CGGAAAAAGGAGGUGUGACAUUCACGGCAUGAAAUAGGGGAUUACACUGUUUUUAAAAUGGAAAGUGAAUCAAUUAACAUACUAGACUCCU
rnacentral:pre_miRNA from 1 species